GUUACGCACAGUUACACACUGUAACACACAGUAAGACACAGUAACACACAGCUACACACAGUUACACACAGUAACACACUGUAACACACACGCACACUGUAACACACACAGUAACAGUACUUGUAUAGAUUUGAGGACCCGUUGUGACAGAACCGGUUCCUUGAGACCCUGAUUCUACUCUAACCCUUAACACCAAGUCUGAACCUUCAAGCAGCUCUGAAGUCGUGAAGAAAAAUGUCCUCAGUCUGUUGGUUAACCCUGCAGGAAGUACACAAACACACACACACACACACACACACACACACACACACACAUUGUAAAGGUAAAGCAGGAGUCGAGUCCGAGUCGGACUGAGACCAGCACAGUUUGAUUAUUGACCAGCUGAUUAUCAGUAUUUCCUGCAUGAGGUCAGUUGCCGCCGCUCUCUCUGAUUGGCUGAACAUGGUCAGAGUUCAAUCAGAGAGGAAGGGAAGGAGAUGCUGGUCACACCGAUGUGAACUGUACAGAGUUUACACCAGAAUCAGGACCAGAAUCAGUGCCCUUUUGGAUUCAGACACUGAGAGGACCAGGUCCAGAACUUUUAAAACCAGAAUUGGUAAUGAAGUCAGACUGGAGCAUACACGCCACAGACCUAAAAGUGAAAGUACACAUCACACACAGUACUGAGAUGAUUCUGACAAUCUCUCAGCUGGUCCAGGUCCUGCUCUGACCUGUCUUUGAGGUCCAUGGAGCUCUGAACCAGAACCACACAAUAAACAGAACAAGGUCUUCAGAAUGAGCUCAGACUCGACUGCUGCAUCAACCACCCUGAACCUGUUGAUCCAAACCUGCAGGUCCACGUCUCUCAGUACAAGCACUGCCCGUCUGAGGCACAGAACCAGAUUUAUAAUAGAAUCAGAUAGACCGUCUUUACAAGUUUGUUUCUUUUGUGUUCAUAGUUUUCUCUCGUUUCACUCUUUUCAGAGCAGUAGAAGAAAUCUUCAGUCCGGUCUUCAGAGAAAUCAGAUGUAAUUUUUAAUUGCAGGUUCAGGCCAUGUGAUCUUUUCUUUGUUCAGUUGCUGUUUGAUCCUGACAGCCAAUCAAUGCAAACUAAUUGUCCUCAGCAGCAGUUAACUUAAUUUGAGAUAUAUAUACAUUUUUAGUGAACAAAAGACCUUAAAGUUGUUAAACGAAGCAGCUGAACGUGAAAACAGUCAGUCCUAAAGUGGAGUAAUGAUUAUCAGUCCAGUCCAGGAACUGGUUCUGCAGAUGUUCAGACCUGUAUGAGAAGAUGUUUCAUUACCAGCUGGUUUGGAUCCACACAAUGAGCUCUCUCACAGAUGUGUAAAUAGAUCCAGAGUUUUUUACUUGAUCGGAGAACAUGUGGAUGAAGCUGUGUUGUGUAGAAGUCGGUGUUUGUCUUACGCUGGCCUGCGAGCUGAGCCAGACUAACUCUGACCUGGAGUUUAACCGUCUUCGCUGAAUGAGGAACAUCGUGUAUAUCUGGAGAACAUGUGGGACAUUUACUAAAGAACAUCUGGACCAGGAAGUCCAGGUGUGAGCAGGUGGUCCAGGUGUAUAAACUGAAUGCUGCUGCUUGGUGCUUUAUUAUUUAUUGAACUUGAAUUGAAGGCAGAGAAACUCCUUCAGUCAUCUUCAGCUCGGUCUCUGAUACUGCAGCAGGCUGGAUGCCACGUCUUUACCAUUUCAUGUAUUUACCCCCUUCUGGUACCCAUGUAUCUGAUCAGAUGUGAGAAUCUAACUGAUAUGCCUCUUAAACACUCUGAUACCCCCAUCACACCCCUCUAUACCCCCUUAGACCCUAUCAAACCCUCGGAUACCCCUCCUGUACCCUCUGAUGCCCCAUCAUACCCCUCCUAUAACCUCUCAAACCCUAUCAAACCCUCGGAUACCCCUCCUAUACCCUCUUAAACCCUAUCAAACCCUCGGAUACCCCUCCUGUACCCUCUGAUGCCCCCUCAUACCCCUCCUAUACCCUCUCAAACCCUAUCAAACCCUCGGAUACCCCUCCUGUACCCUAUGAUGCCCCAUCAUACCCCUCCUAUACCCUCUUAAACCCUAUCAAAUCCUGGGAUACCCCUCCUGUACCUUCUGAUGCCCAGCAGUCCCUCCUACACCCUCUUAAACACCCUGAUACCCUCUUUGAGUUUCUCUUCUGAUACCCCAAUGAUGCACCAUCAUACCUUUGUGUACUCUCCUAAACCCUCUCAUAUCGUUGUGUAUAUAUUCCUGUACCCUUUGUUACCCUUUGGUACCCCAAUAUUCAAUUAAAUUAUUUAUUUAUUUGAA